UACGAAGGGGGCUAGCGUUGUUCGGAAUCACUGGGCGUAAAGAGCGCGCAGGCGGCUGGGCAAGUCCGAUGUGAAAGCUUCCGGCUUAACUGGAAAAUUGCAUCGGAAACUGCUCGGCUUGAAGGUGGGAGAGGGUAGCGGAAUUCCCGGUGUAGUGGUGAAAUGCGUAGAUAUCGGGAGGAACACCAGUGGCGAAGGCGGCUACCUGGCCCACUCUUGACGCUGAGGCGCGAAAGCUAGGGAGCAAACAGG
rnacentral:rRNA from 1 species